rnacentral:rRNA from 1 species
UUGACAUACUAAGAACUUUCCAGAGAUGGAUUGGUGCCUUCGGGAACUUAGAUACAGGUGCUGCAUGGCUGUCGUCAGCUCGUGUCGUGAGAUGUUGGGUUAAGUCCCGCAACGAGCGCAGCCCUUUUCCUUAUUUGCCAGCGGGUCAUGCCGGGAACUUUAAGGAUACUGCCAGUGACAAACUGGAGGAAGGCGGGGACGACGUCAAGUCAUCAUGGCCCUUACGGCCAGGGCUACACACGUGCUACAAUGGUCGGUACAAAGGGUUGCUACCUCGCGAGAGGAUGCUAAUCUCAAAAAGCCGAUCGUAGUCCGGAUCGCAGUCUGCAACUCGACUGCGUGAAGUCGGAAUCGCUAGUAAUCGCGGAUCAGAAUGCCGCGGUGAAUACGUUCCCGGGCCUUGUACACACCGCCCGUCACACCAUGGGAGUUUGUUGCACCAGAAGUAGGUAGUCUAACCGCAAGGAGGACGCUUACCACGGUGUGGCCGAUGACUGGGGUGAAGUCGUAACAAGGUAAGCGUAGAUGA